CAAUAGCGUAUAUUAAAGUUGUUGCAGUUAAAAAGCUCGUAGUUGGAUUUCUGGCUUGUGACCCGGGUCGGCCCGAAAUGGGUCUGUACUAGGAGUUGCGCGCCAUCCUUGGGGCGAGGCGUUCUACCCUUAAUUGGGCGGUUCGUUGAGCCCCAUCGUUUACUGUGAACAAAUUAGAGUGUUUAAAGCAGGCAUAUGCCUUGAAUACAUUAGCAUGGAAUAAUAAGAUAGGACUUCGGUAAUAUUUUGUUGGUUCAUUAUUGAGGUAAUGAUUAAUAGGGAUAGUUGGGGGUAUUCAUAUUCAAUUGUCAGAGGUGAAAUUCUUGGAUUUAUGGAAGAUGAACAACUGCGAAAGCAUUUACCAAGGAUGUUUUCAUUAA
rnacentral:rRNA from 1 species